UUGAGAGGGACAUUCAUGUAAAAAUGUUAGGAAUCUAGCUAGGAGAGUCCUAAUUGAGAGGGACAUUCAUGUAGGAGGUUUUUUCUUAGAGAAGAAUUAGGAGUUGUAAGGGAAUAGGAGUCUUGAGUAGGAGUCAUAUUAUGAGUUGGUUAGAAGUAAGAGUCUUAAGUAGGAGUCCUAUUUGGAGUUAAGGUUUAGAAGCCCUAUAAAUAGCCAUGUAUUCCUUCUCUUUUCAUAAGCAAUAGAUGAAUCUUUUCUAUAGCUUUUGAGCAGCAACUUGGAGAGAGGAACCCCUAUAGAGUUACAAGGAGGCCGAUCCCCUAAAGAGAUCAACCCCAAGUUUAGAAUCUGCAAGGGUUCUAUCACCUAGUAUUAGAGUAGUGUUUUUGGCAUCUCGCUGCCCUUCCACUACCAUCCAUCAGCCCUCCACAACCACCCAAAGCAAUUCCCACAAUUGCUUAAAAGAUCGUCGUCGAAUUCCGCCAUCAUCUCCACCAUCGCGGAUCAUCCUUUGAUCUCCCCGUGAAUUGUAACAGGUUCUGGUUUCCUACCGUACUGCUGCUGCAAUUUAGUUAUCCUUAUUCGAAAAUCCAAAAAAAAAAAUGUUCCUAUAUUGCUGCAUAAACCUUUCGUCACAAAGUUUUCAUCUCAACGACGAAAGAUACAUUGCAGAAUUCCAACCGCAUAGUACCAUCUGUUUAAUCUUGCUACUAUGCUUUUUCUAUCCAAAUUUCUAUGAAAUUUUUAUGACAUCUUUGACACUUCCUAACAGCAGAUUUUCCUUUGGUUUUUUCAAAAAAUUCUCAAUAUAAACUAUUGAUCUUUUACGUCAAAUCAGCUAUACUUGAAAAUCUGCACUGUAAAAUUUCAACCGCAGAGCACUGUUUGUUUGAUCUUGAUACUACAUUGUUUCUAUCCAAAUCUUUACGAAAUUUUUAUGAUAGCUUUGACACUUCCUAACAGUGGAUUUCCCUUUGGUUUCAUCAAAAUAUUCUCAAUAUAAACCACUGAUCUUUUACGUCCAAUCCGCUAUACCUAAAAAUCGGUGCUGCAGAAAAUUUCAGCCGCAUAUUGUUGCCUUAACCCAUCUAUUUGCAAUCUUUUUUGAAUGAAAUUUUUUAUACACUUCAUAGAUCAUCUUGGCUUCCAUCUAAGAUUAAUCUAUUAAGAAAUUCAUCUCUAAAAAUUAUUUUAUAUUGCUGCAAAUUUUCGUCGUAACCCGUUGAAAUUUUUCGACGAGAAUUCUGUAAUCGCAACUUGCACCAAUUUCCUUGCUGUUAUACUGCCGAAAUUUUUUUGAUUAAAUUAGAUAUCCUUGCUUUCAUAUAAACUGUGAUUUUUCUAUUAAUUCCCUCCUCAAUUCUCUCAAGUUUUUGGUGGAAAUUAAGUCGAGAAGCCAUUGUUUCUUCGACGACAAUUCUACUUUUACAAGACAACACAUACUUGCUGCAACUUCCACUGAUUUCUAUCAAACCUUUGCUACCAUCUACCACAGAUCCAAAACAUUCAUCCAUAGCCCUAAAACUCUACGAAACCACACCCUCAAACUGCACCCAAAACAGCCACAAAACAAGCAUAAAUCGUAGCCUACAUCCAUCGAUCCACCAAUCCUUUCGACCAUCACUUCUCUCAACUAUACAUGCCUUUAACCUGACAGCAAAAGAGAGAUCUUAACAUCAUAGAUUUGGAGGCAUAUACUAUGGCAUCUAAGGAGGCAAUCAAUGCUAAAUUCGAAGCCUUGGAGGUGCGAACAUAGGAUAAGAUUCGGACGCUCUUUACCGAACUCAGAUUGGGCCAACCACUAAGCCCGAAAAAAUCAUAUCACGGAGAGAACUUUGCCCAAUCGCACCAAGCUCGAAGAGAUGAGUUCCAAGGGAGGGGAGGCUCUAUGACUGAACCCAACUAUCCAUGCAUGAGAGUGGACUUCCCUAGAUGGGAAGAAGGAGACCCGAUUGGUUGGAUCUCGCGCGCGGAGCGAUAUUUUCAGUACCACAAAAUCGCGGAUGCAUCUAUGGUGAAAAUUACAGCUAUACAUCUUAAAGGGUAUGCUAUACAGUGGUUUGACUGGUUUGAACAUACUUAUGGAGUCCUUUCAUGGCAACAAUUCAAAGAAAGACUGCUGAUCCGCUUCAGACCAACCGAUUACAAGAAUAUUGAUGGACAACUAGCAAAGAUCCGACAAACUUCCACCAUUCAGGAGUACCAAACCAGGUUUGAAAGGUUAUCUAAUCAAACUCAUGAUUGGUCUCAAAAAUAGCUAUUGAGGACCUUCAUUGAGGGCUUGAAGCCGGAGAUCCGAGGAGAAGUUAAAGCGCAACAAUCGUAUACGCUUAUGACAGCCAUCUCUUUCGCACAACAUCAAGAGGAGCAAUUGAACCAUGAAGUUCAGAGGACUAGGGUCGCUCCUCAACUAGUAAUAUUGAAGCUCUCAGCCCCCCCUACUAUUAACCAAGUCCCUACACCAAAGAGGUUAAAAAGAGAAGAGCUUCGGGAGCGAUAUACAAAGGGGUUAUGUUGGCAUUGUGACGAGCCGUGGAGUCGUGAGCAUCGCUGUAGUAAAGGAGGACUUCUUAUGAUUGAACCGAUAGAAGAAGAGGUCAUUGAACAUUCAAAAGAGAGCCUUGAACAUGAAGAAAAAGAUGUAGAAGAAGAGCCACAACCGACCGAAGUUACGGUACAUACACUAGCUAGCUACUCAAACCCGCAAACAAUGAAAGUUGGAGGCCUUCUCAAACAACAACCGAUCACUGUUCUCAUCGACACGGGCAACACUAAUAACUUCCUAAAUAGUAAGGUUGCUAUCCAUAUAAACUUACCUAUUGAGAAUUGUAGCAGGUUUGUCGUUAAGGUCGCCAACGGACGGAUUUUGAAGUGUGAUCAUAGGUGCCCGCAGGUGAAACUAUUGCUGCAGGACCAAGAGAUAAUUGCAGAUUUCUUCCUCCUCCCUCUUGAUGAUCAUGAGGCCAUACUCAGAAUUAAAUGGUUGAUGACAUUAGGUGAUAUUUCUUGGAAUUUUAUGCAACUAUUUAUAAAAUUUUACAGUAAGGAGAAACAAGUGAUACUGCAUGGGAAACGUGAGGGCGAUGUAACGAUGAUUUGCACACAACAAAUGGAGAAGGUUUUGCAUAAAGCAUGCAGGGGCUUUUUAGUACAACUCGAGCAGCAAAUUAAAGGAGAGCCAAUAGAAUUUGAAGUUCCAAACCUAUUUCCUUUGCUUGCUGAAUUUUCAGAUAUAUUUGACGAGCCGCAAAACCUACCUCUUAGUCGUCGGCAUGAUCAUUGUAUAAUGAUUUUCCAGUCAAAUCUCCAGGAAAUACUCAGCCAUAUCGGUAUCCACAUCUCCAAAAUGAUGAAAUAGAAAGGAUUUUAAAAGAGAUGCUUGAAACAGGAGUUAUUCGGCCAAGUUGCAACCUCUACUUUUCACCGGUGCUACUUGUACACAAGAAGGACGGAACAUGGCGAAUAUGCGUUGAUUGCCGAGCUCUCAAUGGCAUAACCAUCAAGAACAAAUACCUUAUUCCAAUAGCAGAUGAAUUGCUAGAUGAAAGGUGAAAUAUCUUGGGCAUAUCAUAUCAAAGGAAGGUGUGAUGGUGGACCCCUUCAAAAUUGAAGCAAUGCAAAACUGGCCUACCCCGAGGAACAUAAAAUUGCUACAUUGCUUUUUGGGUUUAACAGGCUACUACCGUAAGUUCGUGAAAAACUAUGGAAAGAUCAGUGCACCACUUACUUCCUUACUGGAAAAAGAUGUCUUCCAAUGGUCGGACAGAGCCUCCACUACCUUUGAUAAACUUAAGGCAACCAUAACGACGACGCUGGUGCUAGCGCUACCAGAUUUCAACCGACCCUUCAUCAUUAAGGCUGAUGCAUCUAGAGACAGAAUGGGAGACGUUCUCAUGCAAGAUGGUCGACCACUCACAUACAUUAGCAAGACAUUGUCUCCCCCCUAUCAAAACAUGUUAACAUAUGAUAAGGAGAUGCUCGCCAUUGUGCAUGCAGCAACGAGGUGGAGAUCGUACUUGAUCAGGCGAUACUUUCAAAUCAAGACCGACCAUAAAAGCCUAAAAUAUCUCUUGGAGCAGAAGAUAUCUUCCCCCGAGCAGCAAAAAUGGGUAACAAAACUUCUUGGAUUUGAUUAUGAAAUAACUUACAAAAGGUGGAAAGAGAAUGUUGUUGCAGAUGCGCUUUCGCAGCUACCUGAGCAAGCUGAAUUUUCGGUCGUUUUACUUCUAACCAGCGACUUCCUUGAGGAUAUUAAGAUGGAAUGGCAGUAAGAUUCGGAGACCAAUAAGAUACAAAAAAAAUUAGAGGAAGCACCAAGCUUCGUGGCUCAUUACAAUCGGGACUCAAAAGAAUUAUGCUAUAAGGGACGCAUUGUGCUUGUGACAAAUUCUACUUGUUUCUUCAAGAGCAGAUUUUGGACAAAGUUAUUCCAUAUGUAUGGUACUAAAUUGAAAAGAAGUACGACAUAUCACCCACAAACCAACAGCCAGCCGGAAGUUUUAAACAGGUGCUUGGAGACAGCCCAAAGCCACCCACCAAAUAUGACUACCCAAAGAGAACUCCAGACACAGCCAAGUGCCAUUAUUGAUCAACGGAUCGUGACUCGACGACGACGACCCACUAAUGAAGUGCUAAUACAGUGGGCGAACCUAUCAAUAGAAGAUGCCACUUGGGAGAACUAUUACGACUUGAAGAUCAAAUUCCCAGAAUUCACGAAUCAUCAGCCUCGAGGACAAGGCUGAUUUGAAGAGGGCGGGUUUGUUAGGACUCUAGCUUGGAGAGUCCUAAUUAAGAGGGACAUUCAUGUAAAAAUGUUAGGACUCUAGCUAGGAGAGUCCUAAUUGAGAGGGACAUUCUGUUAGGACUCUAGCUAGGAGAGUCCUAAUUGAGAGGGGCAUUCAUAUAGGAGGUUUUUUCUUAGAGAAGAAUUAGGAGUUGUAAGGGAAUAGGAGUCUUGAGUAGGAGUUCUAUUAGGAGUUGGUUAGAAGUAAGAGUCUUAAGUAGGAGUCCUAUUAGGAGUUAGGGUUUAGAAGCCCUAUAAAUAGCCAUGUAUUCCUUCUCUUUUUAUAAGCAAUAAAUGAAUAUUUUCUGCAGCCUUUGAGCAGCAACUUGGAG
rnacentral:lncRNA from 1 species